UGUUGUGGUGUGACCUAGAUAUGGUAUUU
rnacentral:piRNA from 1 species